GGAAAUUGAUAAGUCCUUACUUAAAAUGAUACAGUAAUCCACCUACCCUCAGGGCCUUCCUCUUGAACCUAUUCAUUAAUGAAAACGGCUUGAGUCUUGACUUGACAACAUCUCCAAGAGGGACAUUUGAAGCCUUUUUAAAAUUUAGGAGCAAGGGAUGCUCUGUGAGCAGAGGAAAUUAAUUUUUUAGCUGAAUAUGGUAAAAAAAUUGUUAGGUAAGUAAAACAAUAUUAUUUAGAACGACGUAAAAGGGGGUGCCAUUCCAAUCAGUGAAACAACAUGUGAAUCCAAAAAAACAACAACCUGCAAAGCAAAUAAACCCGAAAUUCCUAUACAUUCGAAUUUACCCCUCUAAUCUCAAGGAGUCCUUAAACUAAACUCUCCCAAAAAGUCAGUAAAGGAAACAACAUAAUUUGGAUAAGUGAGACUCCAUAGGGCAUCUGCCUCGAUAACAAUUGCUACCAAAUAAUUUAUGCAUAUUUUUGCUUUAUUAACAAAGUUUUUCUUCUCUUUUCCCUUUCAUUUUACUUAUACGGAUAAGUUCUUGGGAACCAUGUGUUAUUUAAUUUAUAACUUCUUUUUCCCUCUUUCUUAAUCCCACUAAAAAUGUUCAAUCUUUUUAAUUCUUCAACAAUCUUUUGACUCAAAGCAAUAAAAUUGAGCCACAUCAACUAAUAAUGAAGGGUUGGCUCCAUAUUUGAUUUAUGCCAAAUAAGAAAUAUGUUACUGGUGAUUAGCACGGGGUUUGAUUAAUUCCAAAGGUACUAAUCUAGAAGUAUGCAAGAAAUAGUAUCUUCCACAAUUACAUUAUAAGUAUGUAAUAAUAGAUAUCCAAAUAUUAAAAUUAAGAUAGAUUUUAGUACAUCAACCACGGUCGACGGUGCGGUGGGUUGGUCAGUCAAGAAUUAUCGUCUCAUUCCCUAAGGAUUUAUGAUGAUUUAUAUUUUUUAUAGUGUUUGACUUAAUUAUCUAACGAUUAUGUGUGAAGCACGAACUUUAUUUUGUUAUAAAAUUAUUGUAUUAUUUAUACCUUUUUAUAAUAUACUAUUAUGAUAUAUUAAUUCUACUGAUAAUAGAUUAAUAUUGUGUACAUUGAUUUUUAUAUAAAGAAUUUUUUUUUGAAAUAUCAUAUUUAACUAAUAAUGUGAAACUAAUGUGUCUGAAGUAUUUAUUUAUUUUUUUCUGAAAUAAUGUGCAUAUAAAGGAAAUUAUUUUUUCUUUAUCUAUCACUCUAUUGCUGCUAUUGCUUUUUACAAACUAAUGCUACUAACUCUUCCUACAACUAUUGUUGAAUUAAUGUAUCUCAUUGCCUCCAUUAACUACUCUCUAGUUGAGGCAGCUUGGAUGGUGUCCUUCCAUCAAUCUUUGUUUUUGGAUAUUGUUUGAAAAUAUAGACUCGAUCUGCAGCAUGCUUGAAUGCAAAUAAAUCAAAUAAAACUUGUGUUGUUGUACUUGUUUUUAUUCUAGUAAAAUAAAAAACAACUUCUAUAUAACGGGAGUGGUUAGCAUGGAGUGAACUUCAUAAUAAGUUCACUCCAUGGCUAAUACAGUAUUGACAGGCGGAGAGAUCACCCUCCCAUCUGUGUGUCAGUAUUUAUAUUGGGCAUGACAACCCUUGUUGCACUGCUAUACUAAUGCUCCUGUGCUGCUACACUACUUCAACCUCUUGCAAACACUUACACUACUGCACCAUUUCACCAAUACACUGUUGCCAACAUAUUUCCACAUUGAAAUGCUCUAAUCGCUGCUACAUAAUACUAACUUUUAUUGGACUAUUAAACCAUAGAUGAUGAAAGUCUUCCUUUGCUUUUCCUGAUCCCACACAAUCACUGCAAGUCUUAUUCUUGGUCUUAAUUCUACAAAACUGAACUUUUUCUCAAAAAUAGCUUCAUAUCUUAACCAAAUAUUCCACAUAGUAGUUGCAGCGAGCUAUUAUAAACUCACCAAUGACUCUCAAUUUUUACUUCUAAAAUUUCACUGAUUCAAAAUAAGAUACACUGAAAUUACUUACAGCCAAAACCACUUAUCCGACCUUCCUAUAAAACAACAGAUAUGUCCCAUCUUUGGAUCCCUUAUUUCCAUGUCAAUGUUACCCAUAAUAGAUUAAGAGAAGACAGGUACUGUGGACCACAAUUAUAAAGCCUAAUCGAUGUCUGGCAUGUACAAAAAUAUCAACGACUAUUUUACACAGAAAAUUGAGGACUAAGGCAAAGUAAAUGCUAUAUCCAUGUUUGUAGGGACUAUAUUUAGGUGUUGCAUUGUAAUUAUGUAAUGAUUACUCCAAAUUCUAUUCUAGAAUACCAUUUACGAAUAGCAUAAUACCAAAAGAAACACUAUCCAACACCCCAAAUAUUAUAUAAUCCACCAUUUUAUAAUUCCCAGGUUUUGAUUUUUUUGUGAAAUUCAAAAAUUCAAAACCAAUAUUAACUAAUUUUGGUACAAACUAUAACUACUAUAAACUAACUAAAAAUACAUGAAUGCAUAUCAAUUCAAAAGGAUUUCACAAAUGGACAUAAAAAGAAAAAAUGAAUUUCUAAUUGUGGAAGGGAGUAAUAUAAUGAAGUCUUCCUCUGUAUCCUUUUCCUCAUCACUCUUCAUGUUACAGUACUAUAAAAGUUAUUUAGGAAUAAAAUUUAGGAAUAAAUCUCAAGCUCCUUAAAAAACCCAAAUGAAACAGAGAGAAAAGAUGAAACAGAGAGAAACAUUUGUCCCUCCAAAAGAGGACUCAUUUCUUUCAAAAAUAAAACAGAGGGAGAAAAGAAAAAUGAAAGGGAUGGAGAAAAGAGGCCAUGUAGUUAGUAUAAAACCCAUAAAACACAUGAAUUAAUUUGAUAAAUUAAGCACACAAACUCACAGAAUUGACGUUGUCGACCCGAGAGUUGGCGUGUCCCAACCUUUCGGAAGUUUGAAGCGCGAGGUGGUAAUGAUGGAGGAGUUGUGGAGCAGGACAGGCGGCGGCAGAGGGAUGGAGAAUUUGGCAGUUCGAUUGAUAGAGAAAAUGAAGAAGAAGUAAGUGACUGAAGUUUGAAACCCUUGUUUAAAGUCUAAAGUCCUCCGUGUUUUGUUAUAUUGCAG
rnacentral:lncRNA from 1 species